rnacentral:tRNA from 1 species
AGUCGCGUGGUCUAAUGGUUAUGAUAUCUCGUUCACACCGAGAUGGUUCCCGGUUCGAUCCCGGGCGCGACUA